UGCAGCUCUGAGUCUCCGUGUGCAGGUCAACGUGGCCGAGGCGAUCCUGCACGCCGCCCCGAACUAUGGGCCCACCCUGCGCAUGAGAAGCGCAAGUGUGCGGUCUGCGCCGGGGGCCCAGGCGCGGGAGCAUGCUGGUGAGCUCGCUCAGUGGGCUCCAGAUGGGGGUCUUAAGAAAAAUCUGCUUUCACUUUGUAGUUUAUGAUUUAGUUCAGUUCACCUGGAAAGACUCAACAUGAAUAAAAACAGAUGCACGUCAAGGCGCACGGCUGGCUCUCUGACAAUCCUCUUCCCUCCGCGGGAGAUGGUCUUCCUGUGUCCGGGGAGGAGUGCAGCCCUUUCCAGUGCAAGCGGAGUGCAAAGUCUCUGUCAAGGGCGCAGCUGUCGGUGCCGGGAUGGGCAAACCCCAGCAAGGUCAGCACUGGGGUUCCAGCUCCAGGAUCGUAAACGUGUGGACGGAGGUACGCCCGUGUGGCUGCUCGUCCGAAUGGAUAUUUACCACGGAGGACUUGUGACAGUGUGUACUUUCUGUUGCCAGAAAAAGAGAAACAGACAGAGACAGAUGCAGAGAUCCCGAAAGCACUCAUCUUCCGUCACACAGCCCCCGGGGGAAAGCUGACAUCUGGCUGACCUGGUACAAGGGCAGCCUCUUGCAGUGAAGCGAGCCUGCUCUGGACAUCAGCAAGGCCAGGAAAUGACCUACACGCACUGAACAAGGGCCGUCAGAGUUGCUGGCAGUAGGCACCUACGAGGAGAGAAGCUGGGUCCCCAGGAGCUCGGCUUCCGAGGCCACUGUCGUUUGCUCAGACACCUUUGCUGCAGGUGGAGCGGAGCCCGGGAGACCUGCCUGCGGAAGGGGCUCCAGGGUCUGCUGGCCGCGCCCCAGUGGACUUGAACCACACUCUGGGGCCUGACUGCACCGACCACCCUCUGGCAAGGAGCAGGGCCGGAGCUUGGCAGGCGGACCCGGCAGGCCAAGGACUCAGUAAAUACUCUGUCAGUGGGACAGCUCCGAGAUGACCCCUCAGGUCAUCAGAAGAUGCUCCAGUUGGGCUGGGGAAGCCUUCAGGAUGGGCUUUGGGUCUCGCCACUUGUUAUUUCCACCGUGGGGAGCUCCUGGGUCCAGGGCAUGAAUCUUGGGUCCCCGUGCACCAUGCUUUUCAUAAUGCAUUGGUGCGAACUUGGGAUGGCUCUUGCUAGCUGUGCCUUUCAUGAGUGUGCCCACGGUCGCUCCUGCUUUGAUCUCUCCUCUGGAUGUGUCUGAAUCAAGGGAUCCCCCCGCAGUCAAGCCACUUGUCCAAGUAUUUACUCAGUGUCUACUUCUGGGAUGAGGAGAGAGAGCUCACUGCUGUGCCAAACCCUGCGAGGCGGCCCUUCUAAACAGCAUUAUACAAAGCGACGGGGGUCAGAGAGGUGCCACAGCUUGCCCAGGGUCACCCAGCUCAGCGGGGCAAAGCUGUGAUAUGGAUCUAGGACUGUGCAAACACGAGGCAUGCGCUUUGCAACUCUAUUUCCCUUCUCCUGUCGGGGGCAGAACAGCAAGCAUGAGAUCGAGACCUCGGGGAGACACGUGAUAAAUGAGAGGUUAAAGAGGAAGUCCCGAGGAGUGACAGGGAUGGGCUGAAGGGGACAAAAGGUUAGCAGCACAGCCUGGAGGGCUCUGAGUAAGGACAGAAAGGUGGGGAUGGCAUUUCAGGGCAUGGAAUCACGUGGGAGGUUGGGGCCCUGUGGUGGGAGGUCCUGGGAGGGAGGGGGCUUGUGCACGCAGGCAGAGAGAGCAGAGUCGCAGUAACAAAAAGAAAGCCCUGUGACCACAGAGAAAGCAUGAGUCACAAGGCCCCCCCCCCCCGCCCACUCCCCCACCCUGCGUGCUCUGGGACCCCUCAGCCCGUGGCUUGGCCCUGGUGGGUGAUACAGCAUGCGCUGCUUCAGGAGUAUUUAAAUGUGCCGCGUGGGCAGAGACGUGAGCGGUUCCGUGCUCGAGACUCAGGAAAAGCCCUCCUGUCUCCGGGGCUGCUUCCCAGGUAUUCUGGGAUGUCCAGAAGAGUAACAUUUCCCGGAGUCGCAAAAACAAGCCAACGUGAGGCCUCUUCAGGACAUGAAAACCGGUGAACCAACCUCCCCAGUGGCUCCUGGAUUUCAAUCAUUCUGAGCCGCCGUGGUUCCCGAUGGACCAGAAGCAACGGUGGCCCAGGCAGGAGCAGAAGCGGCUCCCCGGCUGUGGGCACAGCUGCCCUCCCGGUCCUGCUCGCCAGCCUGCCACCCAGCCGGGCCAGCACCCUGCGGUCUUCCUCCCACGGCCCCACCCGCCCUUCUCAGGACUCCGGACGGUCUUCUCUGUGGACUUAACGUUUGGAGAGCUUUCAUCCCUCGACAAAGCCAGGGGCCUUUACAUUCCUAGGAACCUGCCGGCAGAGCAUUUUACAAGGGCCCGUCUGCCCACCGGGCAUCGAAUCCUCUCGUGUUCCGUGUUUCUGGAAGGUGGGAGUUGGUGGGGCAGGUUUUCGCUGCACUCGGGCCAAAUUCGAAACAGUUCAGAAGUUGCCACGGCAGAGAAGACGGUCAGGGCAAAGCCUCCAAAACACCAAAUCCCAGAUCAGGGAAGGCAGGGUCACGGAGUCCGGCAGGUCCCCGUCCCCCCUGCCUGGUGAGGUACAGGGGACGGACAGAGGGGGACCCAAGCUGGUCCUCGGAGACCUCCCCGGUGUCCCAAGUCCACUGUAAGGCACACAGGAUGCCGCUCUCGCGUAACCAG